UAUUGAUUUUUGUAAAAACGAGUAGAAAAGCAUAAUUUAGCAGAUUAAGUGUAAUGGCGUAAUUUAAUGGUCAAAAUCAUAAUAAUUACGCCCAAAGCGUAAAGGUUGGCAUCUAUGAACAUGACCACUUUUG